AUUGCUUCUUGGCCUUUAGGCUGAGGUCAAGUGUAGCAUCUGUUCUUAUCAGUUUAAAGUAGGUGAAGAAUUAAAAUGGAGUGUAAGAAAAGGAGAUUGAGUUUGCAAUUCAGUAUUUCAUGGUCUCCAGAACCU
ensembl:snRNA U2 U2 spliceosomal RNA